rnacentral:rRNA from 1 species
AUACGGAGGGUCCAAGCGUUAUCCGGAAUCAUUGGGUUUAAAGGGUGCGCAGGCGGUUUAUUAAGUCAGUGGUGAAAUCUCGGGGCUCAACCUCGAAACUGCCAUUGAUACUGAUAAACUUGAGUUCAGUUGGAGUAGGCGGAAUGUGUAGUGUAGCGGUGAAAUGCUUAGAUAUUACACAGAACACCGAUAGCGAAGGCAGCUUACUAAACUGAUACUGACGCUGAGGCACGAAAGCGUGGGGAGCGAACAGGAUUAGAUACCCGGGUAGUCC